CAGUCGCCGCGGGAAUACGAAGGGGGCUAGCGUUGCUCGGAAUGACUGGGCGUAAAGGGCGCGUAGGCGGUUUUGACAGUCAGAUGUGAAAUUCUUGGGCUUAACCUGGGGGCUGCAUUUGAGACGUCAAGACUAGAGUGUGAGAGAGGGUUGUGGAAUUCCCAGUGUAGAGGUGAAAUUCGUAGAUAUUGGGAAGAACACCGGUGGCGAAGGCGGCAACCUGGCUCAUUACUGACGCUGAGGCGCGAAAGCGUGGGGAGCAAACAGGAUUAGAUACCCCCGUAGUUCCUGUCUCUUAUAA
rnacentral:rRNA from 1 species